GUGGCCCUAGAAAAGGCAAAAAGACAAAAAAAAAACCAAAAACCAAAAACAACAACAAAACAGUAGCCCUAAAAAUUAGCUGCAGAGUUAAGACAUUUCCCAGACUAGUUGAAGUUAGAGAUGGUCUUGAGUCCAAAUUCUGACUCAUGAGAAGGCCAGCAGAAGCUGCACAUGGAACUUCCAGGAAGGGUCCUCAAAGCGAGUAUCUAUCCUUCUCACCCCUUCCUGUCCUUGCUUUUGGCUGGAAUGUGGUUGGCACGUUAGCAGCCGUCCUGAGCAAUGGGGUGACUUUGGAAAUGGAGUCCAUGCCAGUGGCUAGCAAAGCAGCGAAUCUGCCCUGGAUUGACUUUCUGCACUUUUUGCAAAAGAAAAGUCAACUUCUAUCUUAAGUCACUGCUUUGGGGGAUUUUCUGUCACUUGUAGUUGAACCCAAUCCUAACUGUUACAACAGCAUUUUUAUCACGGUAAAGAAGUGAAAGCAACCACAGUAGCCCAUAAAAAGGGACUAGUUCAAUGCACUCAUUUGUUUACUCGUUCAUCACAUUUUUAAUGAGUAUUUACUGCAUGCCUGGCUCUCGUAUAGGCACUGGGGAUAUAGUGGUAAAAAGAGAGAGAGAGAGAGGUUGUCUCUGCCCUCAAGAACUUUGUGAGAAGAGGAAGCAAGAGGCAUAAAUACAUGGACAGCUAAAAUAUAGCUUAAUUAGUGGAACCAUGGAGGCUGAGUAGUUUGAAAAGAUAUUUUAACGAGAUGGGGAAAAUGUUCAUGACAUACGGCUAAAAAUAGUAGGUUAUUAAAGAUCAGGCAUAGUAGAUCCAGUCUGUAAAACAGCACAUGUAUUUGCAUGGCGAAAAAACAAAACUGAUAGAGACUUUACACCUUGACCAGCCCUGGCAUUUAGCAGGUGCACAAUAAAUGGUUAACAGGUGAAAGACGCUAUUUCAGGAUGGAGGGACUAUUUCUUUUCUCUAUAUUUUUACAUACUUUCCAAGUGGUCCCCUCGGCACACGUACUGCUUUUGUAUUAAGGACAAAUUUACCCGCGUUGGGAAACAAUGUGAAUUAGAAAGUUGCGGAUCCAGACAAACUGUACAGGGUGGUGAUUUUAGUUAGAAUGCAAACUAAGCUGCGCUCAACUGUCUCAAAAAGAAACUCAAGCCUCAAGUCUGAGUUUGGCCUCUCUCUGGGGGCGAGGACUGGUGAGGGGUCUGGUUCUCUGCCCCAGGCCCUGUCUGCAAGCAGGCAGGGAAGCUUGCCCAGGGCUUUGUUCUACAUUUUUAGUGGGGCAGGGCUCCCGGCAGCCAAGUUAUUAAGCACUGGCCCUAUCACUUCUCUUCCCAUGGCUCCUCUGCUGGGCCUCCUGCCCCACCAUUAAAGCAGCUGUUGUUGUUUUGGAGAGGCUAAUUAACUCCACACUGCAUGAAGCCAGACGCUAAUUGGCCCCCUCACUUAAUCAACUUUAAUGUCUCUCUUCUGGUGGACCCGGCUGCUGCUUUUUGUUCUCCCAUCACCAACACGCGCAGAUUCAGGGGACGGGCGGUGAUGGUCUCCGGUGGGCUCCCGCAGCCCUCACCCUGUCAACUCCCCCGCCGAGGGGCGGGCUGCCGGCCUCAUGGUGACCCUCACUUUGCUUGGUGGACAGACUCUUAAGUUCGUGCUCGCUGGAGCAUCUGGGGACCUGAGCUUAUUGCUUGUCUUCCAAACACGGCACGAUGAUAUGAGUCAUCCGAUGGUUGGUUUCUCAAGAGAAUCGGCCUCAUCUCUGCCUGUUGCUGACACAUAUUUAAGGCUCUAAAACCUAACUCACUCCCACAACUACUGCAGCUACAUUUUACCGAGUGUGUUUUCUGCAGCGGAUGCUGUGUCAAGUCCUUUCCAAAGCCACAUGACCACCCUAUGGCUCCAGUCUCUCACCAUUGACGGAGAACUUCUGCAUCCACCCUGACAACUCGAUCGUCACAGUAACUCUCUGAAGCGGACUGGGCAGUAUUAGCAUCCCUGUUUCCCCCAUGGGUGAGCCAAGGCUGGUGGAAAGUAAAUUGCUGGCCCUACG